GACGAACGCUGGCGGCGUGCCUAAUACAUGCAAGUCGAACGCUGAAGGAGGAGCUUGCUUCUCUGGAUGAGUUGCGAACGGGUGAGUAACGCGUAGGUAACCUGCCUGGUAGCGGGGGAUAACUAUUGGAAACGAUAGCUAAUACCGCAUAAUAGUAGAUGUUGCACGACAUUUGCUUAAAAGGUGCAAUUGCAUCACUACCAGAUGGACCUGCGUUGUAUUAGCUAGUUGGUGAGGUAACGGCUCACCAAGGCGACGAUACAUAGCCGACCUGAGAGGGUGAUCGGCCACACUGGGACUGAGACACGGCCCAGACUCCUACGGGAGGCAGCAGUAGGGAAUCUUCGGCAAUGGACGGAAGUCUGACCGAGCAACGCCGCGUGAGUGAAGAAGGUUUUCGGAUCGUAAAGCUCUGUUGUAAGAGAAGAACGAGUGUGAGAGUGGAAAGUUCACACUGUGACGGUAGCUUACCAGAAAGGGACGGCUAACUACGUG
rnacentral:rRNA from 1 species